UGAGAAACAUGGUUCCUGCCCUCAAGAGGAUCAAAUUUGGAGAAAAAGGUAGAUAAUCAUAUCAAAUAGGGUGAGAACAAGCACUGAAAUCAAGUUUAUUGUUAACAUGUGGAGGAGGAGCACCUCAUUCAACCUGCAUUCAACAAGAAGUACUUCUCAAAAAUGUCAAGCUCAAGACGAGUAUUGAAGAACCGGUAGGAAUUGGCCAAGCUAAAAAGAGACAAAGAGGGCUCCAUACACAGGCACAUAUACCUUUGUAUGUGUCUCCUUGCCUAUGAACUGUAGAGUAAAACUCAUUACAAGUAUUCUGGAUCCAUUUUUGGCUAAGUGAAGAGGAAAGUUUUACCAGCUGAUGGCCGUUUGAUGACCUACAUGGAAAGAACUGGUAGACUCAGGAGAGCACAAUUGAGAGAAGUGAUCACAUCACAAAAUGUGACAUCAUUCUUUGGCACCAGCUGGCAUCCUGGACAUGGAGAGUGAGUUAUAUUCUCAACCCUGAAUUUUCCCCUCCAGAUUACCCUUGUGGCUCACCAGAGGGCAGUGUGCAGUAAUCGGCCCUACUGCUUCCUGCAUUGGAUGUCUCCUAUGGGACAAUGUCAAAUAAUCAGAACCAGAAAUCAGAUACAUUUGGAGGAGUCAUUGCUCUUGAAACCCCAAAAGUCUACUCAAACAACAAAUGCUUAUUCAAAUGUUUUGAAAUUUAUAAAUGUGAAAUUUUAAGAGGAACGUAUUGAGCACGCAGGGUUAACAAACUUAAAUUGCAUCAUUAUGUUAAAUGGGGCAAACUUCAAAGUGUUCUCCCACCACUGAGGAAAAUAAGGUUUGUUACACUUAUUGUUGCUAAAAAUUUAAGAAUACCAUAACAUCACCAAAUGGUGAAUUUGUGCUUAAUGAAAAGGAAAGAAUUGCAACCUUUCACUGAUGCAACCAUAUUCUGUGCAUUUUUUUUUCUUUUUAACAGAAAACUAUAAUACAACACUUAAAGGAAUCAAUAACAAUCUGGUUGAAUAAACAAAAAGAACUAAAUAUGACUUCCUUUAAU
rnacentral:lncRNA from 1 species